rnacentral:rRNA from 1 species
AAUAGAUACCCUGGUAGUCCACGCCGUAAACGUUGGGCGCUAGAUGUGGGGACCCUUCCACGGUUUCCGUGUCGUAGCUAACGCAUUAAGCGCCCCGCCUGGGGAGUACGGCCGCAAGGCUAAAACUCAAAGGAAUUGACGGGGGCCCGCACAAGCGGCGGAGCAUGCGGAUUAAUUCGAUGCAACGCGAAGAACCUUACCAAGGCUUGACAUACACGAGAACGGGCCAGAAAUGGUCAACUCUUUGGACACUCGUGAACAGGUGGUGCAUGGUUGUCGUCAGCUCGUGUCGUGAGAUGUUGGGUUAAGUCCCGCAACGAGCGCAACCCUCGUCGCAUGUUGCCAGCACGUUAUGGUGGGGACUCAUGUGAGGCUGCCGGGGUCAACUCGGAGGAAGGUAGGGAUGACGUCAAAUCAUCAUGCCCCUUAUGUCUUGGGCUUCACGCAUGCUACAAUGGCCGGUACAAAGGGCUGCGAUGUCGUAAGGCGGAGCGAAUCCCAAAAAGCCGGUCUCAGUUCGGAUUGAGGU